GUUUUGGGGUUAUGGGAGGUAUUCAUGAGAACAAACAGCCAAGAAAGAAUUCUUGAAGACGUCUUUGGUGCAAAAAACAAAAAAAAAGGAUUUCUUUCAAAAACUGAUUUUACUUCAAUCACAAAACUCUUCUUUACAAUGGGACUUGAAGAAUAUCUUUAACACGAAGAUCAUAUUGUCCCAAAACUAGCACCAUCACUCUCUUAAAAUGCCAACGUCUAACUCCAGUGUGGGGAUUUAGGAACCAAGCCACCUCUACCAGAAAUAGAGCGAUGGAUCAAAAUGAGGAAACAACAGAGGAGUUCACCAUUCUUAACUGGUAUCCGCUGAAUUUCUCUGAAACCACCGAUUUAAAAACAGAAAUGAAUGAGUAUAAUCAGCUACAAGUGAACACAGGCUCUAAUUUCAGAGAAGGGGGAGAAUGAAGAGAAGUGGAGAUGCCAUUAACUCGAUUUCCACUCAGUAGCUGGAUCUACAACAGGCUGCAGACGGAGUGUGGGCCUGUCAAAAGGCAGCUGGACGUACAGCAGUUUUCACUUCAGAAAAGCAAGAAUCACGGGGUGCUUGGGUGGCUCAGGUGGUUGAGUGGCUUCUGCUCAGGUCAUGAUCUUGCAGCUCGUGACUUU